rnacentral:rRNA from 1 species
AAACUUUCAACAACGGAUCUCUUGGUUCUCGCAUCGAUGAAGAGCGCAGCGAAAUGCGAUACCUAGUGUGAAUUGCAGCCAUCGUGAAUCAUCGAGUUCUUGAACGCACAUUGCGCCCCCUGGUAUUCCGGGGGGCAUGCCUGUUUGAGCGUCGU